rnacentral:tRNA from 1 species
AGCGGGAUAGGAUAGCCCGGAGAUUCCACCAGGCUCAUAACCUGGAGAUCGGUGAUUCAAAUUCACCUCCCGCUA